CUGAGCUCUCAAAACCAUUGCAUCAUCAAUCAAAACCGCGUGUAUUUGUUUGUGUUCGGUGCUGACUGUGUUUGUUUCUAAUUUUGCUUGGAAAAGGUAAAUAAACCGACGAUUUCUUCAUAAUUGAAAGCUUCAGUUUGGAUGUUAGAACCUGAAGGUCUGAAAGAAGUGGCAGCCUGGCAAAUAUAUCGUCCACCAUCGUCUACAGUAAUUUUAUCAAUUCGUAGAGUGUCUCCUGUUUGCCUGAAGUACGGAUCCCCUUCUUUCAGCCAUUGGAUCAUAUGAGGAGGAGGUUUAGACAAGACUUCACAUUUAACUAUGAGAGGUUCGCCAGCAGCUACUUCCUGAUAUGUUGGAAGUCUCACUUGGGGGCCAUCUGAAAAUUGAAAUUCAUUAAAUAUUUGUAACACUUCAUUUAAACAGUUAUAACAGUAAUAACUCUUUAUAACAUCCA